AUACGGAGGAUGCGAGCGUUAUCCGGAUUUAUUGGGUUUAAAGGGUGCGUAGGCGGCGCUUCAAGUCGUCUGUCAAAUGGAAGGGCUUAACCCUUUUUCGCAGACGAAACUGGAGAGCUUGAGAAGCAGAGAGGCAAACAGAAUUCCUGGUGUAGCGGUGAAAUGCGUAGAUAUCAGGAAGAAUACUAGUGGCGAAGGCGGUUUGCUGGCUGCAUACUGACGCUGAAGCGCGAAAGCCAGGGGAGCGAACGGGAUUAGAUACCCCGGUAGUCCUGGCAGUAAACGAUGUAUGCUGGGUGUGAGACUAGCGAUAGUUUCGUGCCGAAGUUAACGCGAUAAGCAUACCGCCUGGGGAGUACGGUCGCAAGAUUGAAACUCAAAGGAAUUGACGGGG
rnacentral:rRNA from 1 species